UGGGGAAUUUUGGACAAUGGGGGAAACCCUGAUCCAGCCAUCCCGCGUGUGCGAUGAAGGCCUUCGGGUUGUAAAGCACUUUUUGCAGGAAAGAAACGUCAUGGGUUAAUACCCCGUGAAACUGACGGUACCUGCAGAAUAAGCACCGGCUAACUACGUGCCAGCAGCCGCGGUAAUACGUAGGGUGCAAGCGUUAAUCGGAAUUACUGGGCGUAAAGCGUGCGCAGGCGGUUCGGAAAGAAAGAUGUGAAAUCCCAGAGCUCAGCUUUGGAACUGCAUUUUUAACUACCGGGCUAGAGUGUGUCAGAGGGAGGUGGAAUUCCGCGUGUAGCAGUGAAAUGCGUAGAUAUGCGGAGGAACACCGAUGGCGAAGGCAGCCUCCUGGGAUAACACUGACGCUCAUGCACGAAAGCGUGGGGAGCAAACAGG
rnacentral:rRNA from 1 species